UUCAGCCAUGUAGAAUUGGAAAUGCUAAGCUGAUCCCAUAACGUGUUCCUGGUUGUGAUGCAACAGCUGCUCUGGUGGGUAUAAAUACCAGCACCUUUCAUACGUCCGAUCAUCAGGCAGGAGGAGUAAAGAGCUGAUAUCAAGCUCAAAGCAAAUCCUUCAGAUUUUAAGAACUUCACCCGAUCAAGAUGAAGACGUUCCCCCUCGCCGCCGUGGCCGUGACCCUCGUCGUCGCGUUCAUCUGUGUUCAGGAGAGCGACGCUGCUCCAGCCGCAGACAUCUAUGAUAUUUUGGACGGGAGACUUGGUAUUGGCAUAUUCGAAUCGGAUGAAGAUGUGGCAGAGAUCUCAUUACUUGUAAGGGUUAACUUUGAAUGAAUGAAUG